rnacentral:rRNA from 1 species
AUUGAACGCUGGCGGAAUGCUUUACACAUGCAAGUCGAACGGCAGCACGGACUUCGGUCUGGUGGCGAGUGGCGAACGGGUGAGUAAUAUAUCGGAACGUGCCCAGUCGUGGGGGAUAACGUAGUGAAAAUUACGCUAAUACCGCAUACGAUCUAAGGAUGAAAGCGGGGGAUCGCAAGACCUCGCGCGAUUGGAGCGGCCGAUAUCAGAUUAAGUAGUUGGUGAGGUAAAGGCUCACCAAGCCAACGAUCUGUAGCUGGUCUGAGAGGACGACCAGCCACACUGGAACUGAGACACGGUCCAGACUCCUACGGGAGGCAGCAGUGGGGAAUUUUGGACAAUGGACGCAAGUCUGAUCCAGCCAUUCCGCGUGCAGGACGAAGGCCUUCGGGUUGUAAACUGCUUUGUACGGUAAGAAACGUACUCCUUCGUGAAGGAGCUUGACGGUACCGUAAGAAUAAGGAUCGGCUAACUCCGUGCCAGCAGCCGCGGU